AAAAACAAUUAAAUGUUUGCUUAUAUAAAACCAGCAAUAUGGGCUGGAUGUUUCUACCGAACUACCGUAAAUAGUUGUAGGCUAUAAGUGUUAUGAGCUUAAAG
rnacentral:ncRNA from 2 species